ensembl:lncRNA
GAAAGAAAGAAAUUACUAAGUAAGCAAAGAAAGAAAGAAAGAAAGAAAGAAAGAAGAAAUUACUAAGUAAGCAAAGAAAGAAAGAAAGAAAGAAAGAAGUUGCUAAGAAAGAAAGAAAGAAAGAAGUUACUAAGAACGAAAGAAAGAAAGAAGUUACUAAGAACGAAAGAAAGAAAGAAGUUACUAAGAACGAAAGAAAGAAGUUACUAAGUAAGCAAAGAAGAAAGAAAGAAAGAAGUUACUAAGAACGAAAGAAAAGAAAGAAAAAGAAAGAAAGAAAGAAAGAAAGAAAGAAAGAAAGAAAGAAGUUACUAAGAACAAAAGAAAGAAGUUACUAAGUAAGCAAAGAAAGAAAGAAAGAAAGAAGUUGCUAAGAAAGAAAGAAAGAAAGAAGUUACUAAGAACGAAAGAAAGAAGUUACUAAGUAAGCAAAGAAGAAAGAAAGAAGUUACUAAGAAAGAAAGAAAGAAAGAAAGAAAGAAGUUGCUAAGAACGAAAGAAAGAAUAAGCAAAGAAAGAAAGAAAGAAAGAAGUUGCUAAGAAAGAAAGAAAGAAAGAAAGAAAGAAGUUACUAAGAAAGAAGAAAGAAAGAAAGAAAGAAGUUGCUAAGAACGAAAGAAAGAAGUUACUAAGAAAGAAAGAAAGAAAGAAAGAAAGAAGUUACUAAGAAAGAAAGAAAGAAGUUACUAAGUAAGCAAAGAAAGAAAGACAGAAGUAGAGAUCUCGGUAUAAUCCCUGACGAGAGAUCAAGUAAAAUACACCUGCUUCCUAUAAUAAUGAUGAUAUAAAAAGGCGUGUGGAAUUUAAGAUCAGAUCUCAUGGUAUGGACAGGUUUAGGGAUGAGGUUUCAGGUUUACGCUCGGGCGCUGUGAACGAGUCACUCUCACUGUGCACUCGGGUGUGGUGUGUAGAGCAGCAGGGGUAACACACAACGUGUGUGGUGUGUGCUCAUGGUUAAUGUGGCAUGACGCAGGAGAGAGAGAGAGCGAGAGAGAGCGAGAGCGAGCGAGAGAGUCGGGCUUGUUGGUUGAGGUGUAAUUGGGAGAGGAGAUACACACACGUGACUGUAAGACCAUGUGUACAUCUGAUCAGUUCAGGUUGUAAGGUUUUAAUUACAUGUGUAGUCAGAUAUAUCACCGCUGAACUGAACUCUGUUUUAUUUGCUGUACCGCAUGUAAUAUGCAGUUCAGCGCUGGUCCAGGUACUGUACUUAAAAAUGGUUUCCACAUCAAUAUAUUUUUUGCUUCAUUAAAGACACCAAUUUGAUGUCAAUUUGAGCAGAUACUGUACGCUGUGACAAUGC